AAAGAAACGAAGUGCAUGAGGGAAGCUUCGUGUUCCCGUGGGGAUGCUUUAGGCGCGUGCAGCUUCUGAGCUGCACGGAAACUUGAGGCUCCCACAGAAGCUUCCUGGCUGCACGGACAGUUUGCCUUCUGCAGGAGGUAUGGUUUCCUUCUCUCACGGAAUGAAAGCACCACAGACCCCCUCUGCUCGCUGCUGUGCUUUAACCAGACCUGAACAGCACUUCAUGAACUGAAAUCAUUCUCUAGGAUGAUGACGACAUGCCAGUUCUCGGUAUAUGGAUAUGAGUCCUGAGAUCCCACACAUGGAUACACAGAAGGACUGCAUAAUGUGCUGAAGAUGGGGGAGAAGGUAUGCUUGGGUGAAAGGUGGGACUGUUUCUUCUAAUGGCUGCUUACAUACAACAGCAAAUACUGAUUUCUCCCUUUUUAAUGCAAGAGCAUUUAUCUGCCAGUGUUCAAACUGCAUUUCCAUGACAUAAGAAGAGUUGUCUGGAUAAUUAACUAAUACAGUUAAAACACAUCAGUUUGAGCAGAUGUUCUUGUCUGUGCU